AGGUUCAGUCGCUCACCAUUCUGCCGUUCACACCUCUCUCGCUGCCUUUAUUUCCUGUUGGCGACGCUCUCGCCAGGUCUUCGGCGGCCCGUUCGGCGGCGACUAGCGCCUCCGUUUGCCAGGUCUUCGUCGUCCGUUUCGCCGUCGACUGGUGCCCAGCAGCCAGGUACAUCUGGAAGAAUGGGGGUUUACCUUAGCACACCGAAAACUGACAAGGUAUCCGAAGAUGGGGAAAACGAUAAACUUAAAUUCGGACUUUCAUCUAUGCAAGGGUGGCGUGCAACUAUGGAAGACGCUCACUCGGCUUUGCUAGAUCUUGACAAUGACACUGCAUUCUUUGGUGUUUUUGAUGGACAUGGAGGAAAAGUAGUUGCCAAAUUCUGUGCAAAAUAUCUACACAGAGAAGUUCUCCAUACCGAAGCCUAUGCUGCUGGUGACCUGGGUGCUGCUGUCCACAGAGCUUACUUAAGAAUGGAUGAAAUGAUGCGGGGUCAAAGAGGAUGGCGGGAACUCCAAGCACUUGGAGAUAAGAUAAAUCAGUUCACUGGCAUAAUAGAAGGCUUGAUUUGGUCCCCUAAAGCAAGUGAUUCAAAUGAUAGACAUGAUGAUUGGGCUUUCGAGGAGGUACUUGUGGAACUGGCAUGGUUCCAUAAUUCUAUACUCAUCUUCCUAUGUCUAGGAGAGCAUGCCAUCUGCCUUUUAUUUAUUAAUUUGGCACAGUCAUUGGAUUUCAUUCUGAAAGUGUCACGGGAUUAUCAUUAAUAAGGGACCACACUCUGACUUUACUGGGCCAAAUUGUGGGAGUACAGCAUGUGUAGCAUUAGUCAGAAAUAGGCAACUCGUUGUGGCAAAUGCUGGUGACUCCCGCUGCGUCAUCUCAAGGAAUGGCCAGGCAUACAAUUUGUCAAGAGACCAUAAACCAGAGCUUGAGGCAGAGAGAGAAAGGAUACAAAGUGCCGGGGGUUACAUUAAAAUGGGGCGUGUAAAUGGAAGUUUAAAUUUGUCAAGAGCUAUUGGAGACAUGGAGCUUAAACAAAACAAGUUCUUGUCCCCUGAUAAGCAAAUUUUGACCGCAAACCCUGACAUAAACAUUGUCGAGCUAUGUGACGACGACGAAUUCAUUGUUUUGGCAUGUGAUGGCAUUUGGGACUGCAUGUCAAGCCAGCAGUUGGUUGAUUUCAUCCGUGAACAUAUAAACACAGAGGAAAGCCUUUCUGCAGUAUGUGAAAGAGUGCUUGAUAGAUGCCUGGCUCCAUCGACGGCUGGCGAGGGAUGCGAUAACAUGACGAUGAUCCUGGUGCAGUUCAAGAAGCCAUUUGCUCAGGUAAAGGAUGCCAGUGGUGCGGAACAACUAACUGGAGAUGCGGGAUGCUCUGAGACCCAGUGAGUUUACCUGUGAUUGUGUGGGGUCGAGGAGAAUGGCUUUGACAAGCAGAUAUAGCGAAGACAUGGACUCUUUUGGAGUCUUGGUACAUGGCCUGACGCUGAACCUGGGUAAAACAGGAGUACGAUGUUGCAAUGUACAUACCAACCAUGCGCUCAGUUGGCGUGAAGGAUAUAUUCUUUGUUCCAUUGUUGUCUUUAACCAAACGUGCUGUUUUCUUCCGGUUGUGAUUUUUGGUGAUCUGACAACAUCUAAUUAUACAUUUGGGUGGAAAUGAUGUUACACUAGUUAUUGGGGGUGUUUGUUUGGGAUUAUAAUCUGUUCAGAUUAUAUAAAUUAAAGUGUCAGUUCGAAAUAA